rnacentral:rRNA from 1 species
UACGUAGGUGACAAGCGUUGUCCGGAUUUACUGGGUGUAAAGAGCGCGCAGGCGGUCGUUCAAGUCGAGUGUGAAAGCCCCCGGCUCAACUGGGGAGGGUCAUUCGAUACUGAUCGACUCGAAGGCAGGAGAGGGAAGUGGAAUUCCCGGUGUAGUGGUGAAAUGCGUAGAUAUCGGGAGGAACACCAGUGGCGAAGGCGACUUCCUGGCCUGUUCUUGACGCUGAGGCGCGAAAGCUAGGGGAGCAAACGGG